rnacentral:rRNA from 1 species
CCUACGGGUGGCAGCAGUGAGGAAUAUUGGUCAAUGGGCGGAAGCCUGAACCAGCCAAGUAGCGUGCGGGAUGAAGGCCCUACGGGUCGUAAACCGCUUUUGCACGGGGAUAACACCCUCCACUUGUGGAGGUCUUCAGGUACCGUGCGAAUAAGGGCCGGCUAAUUCCGUGCCAGCAGCCGCGGUAAUACGGAAGGCCCGAGCGUUAUCCGGAUUCAUUGGGCGUAAAGGGCGCGUAGGCGGGCGUUCAAGUCAGCGGUAAACUGGCGCGGCUCAACCGCGCCCCGCAGUUGAAACUGGACGCCUUGAGUUCACAACAGGCAGGCGGAAUUCGUGGUGUAGCGGUGAAAUGCAUAGAUAUCACGAGGAACCCCGAUUGCGAAGGCAGCCUGCCGGGGUGCGACUGACGCUGAGGCUCGAAGGUGCGGGUAUCAAACAGGAUUAGAUACCCGGGUAGUC